rnacentral:rRNA from 1 species
CACGUAGGGGGCAAGCGUUGUCCGGAUUUAUUGGGCGUAAAGAGCUCGUAGGCGGUUCGGUAAGUCGGGUGUGAAACCUCCAGGCUCAACCUGGAGACGCCACCCGAUACUGCUGUGACUAGAGUCCGGUAGGGGAGCGUGGAAUUCCUGGUGUAGCGGUGAAAUGCGAGCAGAUAUCAGGAGGAACACCAGCGGCGAAGGCGGCGCUCUGGGCCGGAACUGACGCUGAGGAGCGAAAGCGUGGGGAGCAAACAGG